rnacentral:rRNA from 1 species
UGGGGAAUAUUGGACAAUGGGCGCAAGCCUGAUCCAGCCAUGCCGCGUGUGUGAAGAAGGCCCUCGGGUUGUAAAGCACUUUCAGUGGGGAAGAAAGCCUGGUGGUUAAUACCCGUCAGGAAGGACAUCACCCACAGAAGAAGCACCGGCUAACUCCGUGCCAGCAGCCGCGGUAAUACGGAGGGUGCGAGCGUUAAUCGGAAUUACUGGGCGUAAAGCGCGCGUAGGUGGCUUGAUAAGCCGGUUGUGAAAGCCCCGGGCUCAACCUGGGAACGGCAUCCGGAACUGUCA